UGGGGGCUUAAGGUGGGGGUAGGGAAGCCCAGCUGGUGCAGCCAUAGAGGAAGGUCUGACCCCUCACCUCCUGCCUCAUAGCCCAACAUAGCACUGUCCUUAGAAGCUAGUGCCAUCUUUCUGGGCCUGUCUCUGCAUCUACAAAAUGAGACUCCUGAGGACCACCUGGCUCAAAAAGAGGAAAUGUGGCAUGUAGGCCAGGGUCAGGGAAUGCCACCAGCUUGGGGAAAGGAAGAAUUGGAGUUCAACAGGAACAAAUGCCCAGGGUCGCGGGGAGAAUCCGGGAGGGCCUUGGAGGAAAUGUCCUCAGCCUAUGCGGUUUCCUCGUGGGACUCUGCAGAAGGCAGCGCUGAGGAGUGGCGGUGACUGAUGGUUGUACAGGAGUCCCCCAACCCAGGGGAGCCCUGAGCAUCUCCUCCACUUUCAUAAACUGCAGAGAAUCUGGGAUCCAACCCCUGACCCAGGACGGUGCAGCGAAUCUAGGGCAGGCGAAAGUCUAUCUGUACGGCUCCUGCGGUCAGCUUCACGGGUGGCACUUUGACCACCAUCCGCGG
rnacentral:lncRNA from 1 species